UGUAUAAGCAUAUAUUUAUCAGAUAGGUGUGUAAACCUGAAUAAGCAUGUAUUUAUCAGAUAGGUGUGGUAACCUGAAUAAGCAUGCCUUUAUCAGAAAUGUGUAUAAACCUGAAUAAAUAUGUCUUAUAAAUAUAUCAGAUACGUGUGCGAAUAUACAAUGAAUGUGUUUCAUGGUGCUACAAUCGAGGUCUUCAUUUAAACUGGACAUCACAAAAGAUCAGCGUUAAUUAUACAUGUUAGAGAGCUUGUACAUUUAUCCUCUUUAAAUACCGUGAUAAUCUUCUCUGUGUAUUUUUAUGAAAUAUACUUCUUUCAUUAUUUUUCCUUAAUUAUUUCUACUUCUUUCUAUUAAUGCUGAUUUUGUGAUAUUUGAUCAUUAGGGCCAGGCAUACUCUCAGAUUAAAUAAAUUCCUGAGCUAUUAAAAAAUUUUUUUUUUUAUAAAAUCUUAAGUACAGUUUAACUUGUGUGUGUGGUAAUUAAAUCAUAAGUAAUUUGUAUAUCUGGUAACUAAAACAUAAGUAAUUUCUGUAUACGGUAACUAAAACAUAAGUAAUUUCUGUAUACGGUAACUGAAUCUGUUGGUUCAAAAUAUGAUCUAAGUUUACACUGUGAAGGCUUGUGUAUAUAUGGUACAUGGAGCUCUACUUAAUAUAGCACUGUUUUAAAAUGUCACAAUUUAUUAAACAAGGUACAUACAUUUGUUUUAAUUGAAAAUUCUGUAAUUUAAAAGUUUAAAGUCGCACAUCACAUAAUAUGCAUACAUCAUUUUGAUAAAUAACAGCUAUUUAAUCAACAGAGACAAUGCUACCAGGUGGGUUGUACAUAUUAUGCCACAAAACAUUACAGUUGUAUUAUAAAUAUGUAAUAAAGUUUAUCUCUAAGUUUGCAUAUACAAUGUACAUGACUUUGUAUAAUGUCUCUGUUGACAAUUUCCUACUCAUUUACACAUGGUAUAUUUGUUCACUUUUUUUUUUUCUUUUAUUGAUAUUUUCUGUAGGAAAUGAAACUGUUCGAGCCACAAAUGGCUUAAAUCUGCGAACAUAAAAUGUGCAAAGACCUGGGAAUGGAUGGAUCUAAACGAAAUAAAUAAAUAAAUAAUCACAAUCAAAAAUGGUUUCCAACUGAUGUGUGUAAAAUUUGUAGCAAAAUUUACCACUGAUUUCAAGAUUUAUUUUGAGAUUUGAACCUAAAAAGAAAUAUUUUUAAAUCAACAUCAACCCAUCUCAAACUCCAAAACAUCCUCUUGAAGAAAUUACUGUUACAUUUGUAUUUACAUUCAUAAUUGUAAUACAUUUUGUAUAUAUAUAUAUAUAUAUAUUAUAGCAUUUAUUGAUAAUCAUUUUAUCACCUCAAUUAAAAUAUUAUGUUUUAUAAUCCUUAUUCUAAAAAAUAACAUAUUGUGUUUUUGUUUUUCUUAAAUAUAAUUCUGUAUCUUUUGUGGCUAUGUUUUACAUUUGUUUCAUUUUUUCUUCAGAUAUAUAAUUACAUUUAUAAUUUAUGAAAUAUACAAUGAUAUUACAUCAGCUUGCCAGACUGGUACAAUCCUUACAAAGUCUUCUGUAAAACCGUUUAUUGUUAAUAUCUUAUAGUUAUUUUUUGAUAAAUUAUCAAUUGUGUGAUGUGUUCAAUAUUUUGAGACUAUUUUCAAAUAUGUAUUCAUAUGUUGUCGGCUCACCUGAUUUGGUCAGGCCAAUCUUUUACUGUCCAAACCAUGACCUGCUUAAAUUGUGAUACGCAGGGAUCAACCAUUUAUCAUUUAAUUAGAAAGAUUGAUUAUGUCGAUUUUUGAAAAAUGAAAUCAUCAAAAGAAUGUUUAAACACAGAAUAGAACAUAUUCUCCGAUUUUAUCUAAAUACCAUUGUCAUAAGUAUUGUAGUUGAGGCGUUUUAUCGUCAACCAGACAUUAAAAACACCAUUUCUCUUUCUUAAAUUUGAAGAGUAAUGACCAAUUAUUUGAUAUUUAUUUGAACUAAACUUGCCAGGUUUUAAAGAUAAAUAUCUAUUUUUAGUACUCUGUCGUUAAAAUGCAAUCUCUGGUUUUCUCUGAACACUUUUCAACCAUAUAUUAAGGGAAUCAUGUUUCACCCAUGUCACGUCAAUGGUUUUCACCGCCUCGGAUAACACACCAGCCUAGCUUUGCUUCAUUCUUUUAAAUGAUUAUAAUUUUUCACGCUCUUCUGGUAAUUAAUGGAAAUUGGUAUGGCUAUUUAUAAGAUAAGAAUGAAACGAAAGUAGAGCUGUUGGCCAAGUGAUUGUUUACUCCACUGGAUCAGUCUGAUAAUGGGACUUGCUGAUGACUAAUUGGGUUAUGGCGGCUAACCAAUAAGGUCAUGACCUUUCAUACAACUCUGAAGUGUUGAAAUGUAUGUGAAGGAAUGUUAUUCGUCUUUCAGAAGUACAUUCAUUAUAAACCAGUCUUUCAUAUCUGUUCUAUGUUGUGGUAUGUUAAAUGUGAAUCUUUAAAUAUCUAAUAAAAGCUCUUUAAAAAUUGAAAA